rnacentral:rRNA from 1 species
AGGAUCAUUAACGAAUUGUAACGGGGGGUUGAUGCUGGAAGCCAUUUUUCUUUGGUUGCAUGUGCUCGCCCCCUAACAGUUUUCAUCCAAAUUCCACCUGUGCACAUUUCGGGAGGGUCUCUGAGUUUGAUUGCCUGCUGUUCGCCGCCAGGUUUUCUUCUUCGGGGGUUCCUUCCUCUCCUCAUUAUACACCGCUUUCGAAAUAUUGAACGUGAUUGUGCCGCAAGGCCUAUGUCGCAAUACAACUUUUAACAACGGAUCUCUUGGCUCUCGCAUCGAUGAAGAACGCAGCGAAAUGCGAUAAGUAAUGUGAAUUGCAGAAUUCAGUGAAUCAUCGAAUCUUUGAACGCACCUUGCGCUCCCUGGUAUUCCGGGGAGCACGCCUGUUCGAGUGUCGUGAAAUCCUCAAGCUUGGGAUGCCUUUUCGUCUCAAGCUUGGUUAAUUGGGCUCUGCUGUGUGUUGCCCCGCCCGGGGGAACAGCUGGCCUUAAAAUCAUUAGCUGAUCCUUAUGUUGUGGCGUUGGUUCUACUCAGCGUGAUAAUGAAUCUGACCGCUGAGGGACAUCUUUCGGGGUGGCCAAUUCUCAUCUGGGUUGCUUCUAAUUUGGCUUUUACGCAUAUUCUGUUUUGACCUCGAAUCAGGUGGGACUACCCGCUGAACUUAAGCAUAUCAAUAAGCGGAGGAAAAGAAACUAACAAGGAUUCCCCUAGUAACGGCGAGUGAAGCGGGAAGAGCUCAAAUUUAAAAUCUGGCGGUCUUUGAUUGCCCGAAUUGUAAUCUAGAGAAGUGUUUUCCGCGCUGGACUGUGUACAAGUUUCCUGGAUACGGAACAUCAUAGAGGGUGAGAAUCCCGUCCUUGACACAGACUACCAGUGCUUUGUGAUGCGCUCUCGACGAGUCGAGUUGUUUGGGAUUGCAGCUCAAAAUGGGAGGUAAAUUCCUUCUAAAGCUAAAUAUUGGCGAGAGACCGAUAGCGAACAAGUACCGUGAGGGAAAGAUGAAAAGCACUUUGGAAAGAGAGUUAAACAGUACGUGAAAUUGUUAAAAGGGAAACGCUUGAAGUCAGUCAUGUUUGCUUGGAUUCAGCCUUACUUCGGUUUGGUGCAUUUCCUUGCUGACGGGCCAGCGUCCAUGUUGUUUGCCGGAGAAGGGGUGAGGGAAUGUGGCUCCUUCGGGAGUGUUAUAGCCUUCAUUCGCAUGCGGGGAGCGAUAUGGAGUGAUACAGC